rnacentral:rRNA from 1 species
AAUCAACGCUGGCGGCGUGCCUCAGACAUGCAAGUCGAACGAUUAAAGCUCUCUUCGGAGAGUGCAUAAAGUGGCGCACGGGUGAGUAACACGUAGGUAAUCUACCUUCGAGUGGGGAAUAACGUCCGGAAACGGACGCUAAUACCGCAUAACGCAGCGGCAUCGCAAGAUGACAGUUGUUAAAGAUUUAUCGCUUGAAGAGGAGCUUGCGGCAGAUAGCUUGUUGGUAAGGUAACGGCUUACCAAGGCUACGAUCUGUAUCCGGUCUAAGAGGACGGUCGGACACACUGACACUGAAUAACGGGUCAGACUCCUACGGGAGGCAGCAGUCGGGAAUUUUGGGCAAUGGGGGAAACCCUGACCCAGCAACGCCGCGUGAAGGAUGAAGUA